rnacentral:rRNA from 1 species
GGGGAAUAUUGGACAAUGGGGGCAACCCUGAUCCAGCAAUGCCGCGUGUGUGAAGAAGGUCUUCGGAUUGUAAAGCACUCUCGACGGGGACGAUGAUGACGGUACCCGUAGAAGAAGCCCCGGCUAACUUCGUGCCAGCAGCCGCGGUAAUACGAAGGGGGCUAGCGUUGCUCGGAAUGACUGGGCGUAAAGGGCGUGUAGGCGGUUUACACAGUCAGAUGUGAAAUCCCCGGGCUUAACCUGGGAGCUGCAUUUGAUACGUGUAGACUAGAGUGUGAGAGAGGGUUUGUGGAAUUC